AAGUCGUAACAAGGUUUCCGUAGGUUGAACCUGCGGAAGGAUCAUUACCGUGGGGCUUCGGCCCCCAUUGAGAUAGCACCCUUUUGUUUUAUGAGUACCCCUUGUUUUCCUCGGCGGGCUUGCCCGCCAGUAGGACAUUAAAACCCUUUGCAGUAGUAGUAACUUCAGUUAAAACAAAUAUUAAAA
rnacentral:misc_RNA from 1 species